GAAAGAACAGAUGGGAAACUGCAGGCAGGUUUUCGCUCACGGCGAAACUUACCUUUGGAUUGGGUGGCAUCGGAAAAUAUCAGUGAUCCAGAGGAUGGAGCUAGCUCGCAGAUCAGAAUGCAUCACCGCUGCGUUGUCAGUUGCACAUCCCACAUAGAUCAGAUGAACCUGAGUUAUCAAGUUACAUACUUGACAUCUUCAAAAAGAACAUGUGGCUUCCUGAUAUACUAGGGCUCUGGGGUCUAAAUAAGAUUGAUAUAAACCUCAAUGUUCUCCCAACGAUCAUACCGCCAUCCCUAAUGAGAGCAGCAACUAGGUCAGUUUCACCAAAAGAAUCUCUCAGCCAAACAUACACAAGCUCAGCGAUAAUCCCCGGAGUGGCCAAAGAAAGAUGCAUGAGGCUCAAAAGUUUAGGUGAGAAAUAAGUCAGCCCAAGGGGAAUCUCACAUAAGUAUAGUCACUCCAGCAUUAAUGAUAAACUUUUGUGCAAAAAGAACAACUUGGAUAUCUAACGGAAUUUCUAGCGGCAGCCCAUUUUACAAAGUGGCCACAUUAUGUUGAACAGCAUGUAGUGUUUUGUUGUUGUGAUAGAACGCAGAUGACCAGAAUCUUUUGAGGUCCCCAAACUGUACAAUAUUUACACAGUGAAAUGGUAUUUUAGAAAAUGUUAUGGUUGCUAUUUAUUUCAAGAUGAUGAAGUAUUUUAGAAA